rnacentral:misc_RNA from 1 species
UUUCCGUAGGUGAACCUGGGGAAGGAUCAUUAUUGUAUAACCGAGGUGCGAGGGCUGUCGCUGACCCGAAAGGUCGUGCACGCCCGAGUGCCCUCACACACAUCCAUCUCACCCCUAUGUGCACCACCGCGUGGGUCCCCCUUUGGCUUGUUCGGAGGGGGGCUUACGUUUUCACACAAACUUUGUAUGCAGUGUAGAAUGUAUUUUUUGUUUUUGCGAUCACGCAAUCAAUACAACUUUCAACAACGGAUCUCUUGGCUCUCGCAUCGAUGAAGACGCAGC